rnacentral:lncRNA from 1 species
UAAGAACAUCAGCUCCUUUAUUAUUAUUAUCAUUUACUGUUAUUUUCCCCUAAACAACAGCACAAUUCAAAUAACAAUGACACACACGUCCCACCCAUAUAGACAAUACCACUAGCCUGCCUGCCAGGCUGUCUGGCCUUUGCUUGGUUCCAGCUGGAGCUGUCUGGAGACAGCCCUCUCUAAAAGUCCCAACUUGGACAUAGGAGACACAAGAAAGGGGGGGCUUUAGCCAGAGAAUAAACUGAGGGGCUUCCAGAGUCCCCGGGGAGUGCCAGCUUGGGAACAUGCUGUAAGAUGCAAUGUGAAAUGUUAUGUCCCAUUAUAUUGGUUUGGCAACUUUAGAAUGUGCAACAUUUUCAUCAAGACAGAAAAGGUAAAGAAAAAAAAAAAAAACUCCCAGCAUUUUGCGCAACUGAGCAUGACUCGCCAAUUGCGCCCUCUUGUGGAAAAACCUACUACUACACUAUCCAGGGACUCUGUGGUCCAUCCACUCCCACCCCCAACAUCUUAGUUGCGCUAAAUCUAUGAGUUCAGCUACAGUAAUGUACCCUGGAAUCAGAGAAGCCCUGGGGUUGGGGAGGGAACAAGGAUGGGCCAUGACUGGGGUCUCAGGUACAGGUGACUUCCUGGCUGUCUUGGGGAAGCUCGUUGUUGAAACUGCUUUCUCCAAAUGGUGAGUAAGGGGGGACCUGGGGAGCUUCGAUGAUCAGCAGGCCCUCUGGGGAAAGCGAGGCAAAUACUGUCACAGGAUCCACCUCUGCAGGAAGCCUAGAGGAAGCACAAGAUUUUAUUCAUUUAUUAUUUUAAUAGAGCUUAAACAUUCUUUUAUUCAUUCGAAAGAAAAUGUUGUUGAGAAGAGCUUCAUCUUUCGGGGCAAACAAUGCUGGGUUUGAAUUCUGGCCCUGCCCCUUUCUAGCUGUGUGAUCUUAGGAAGGCCACUCAGUUGCUCUGAGCUUGUUUCCUCAUCUGCAAAAUGGUGAGCAUAACAUUAAAUUUGCACAGUAUUUGAAGCUCAGAGUGAGAAAAAGACUCUGAACACGCUUUACGAAUGGUAAAACGCUGCUCCAAUGGUAACUUAAAAGGGAGCUGUGGUCCAGAUAUUUGGUCAAUGGUUGAGGUCUCCACUUUAGCACCCACAACUGGCCAGCUGCUGGCGGAAAUGACCGCCACGACCACUCCUUUAUAGAGCACAAAUCAGGUGUCACUCACAACAGGUGACACAUUUUCAUUGACCAUGUGCCUGCUGGGAGGGCUUUGCUACAAAAAGCAUUGCUGGUAGAGUUAAUGGUGGAAUAGACAACUUGGCAGAUAAAGGGGGUCAGGCUGGCCACAUGGCUAGACGUCAGAUGGCAGCAUACUCUACGAUGCUUAGAAUGACCCUCGAUUUGGGCCACAUCGUAAGUAGGUCUUAGCAGGUCAUAAUUGUUUUGUUCCCAAAAUACAUUUAUAGGCAUUACCUGGUUAGAGCUUUAUAGAGACCCUAGAAUGGUUAGUAGGUAGAAAUUAAUAUGCCCAUUGCAUAGGACAUCUGACAGAGCCUUGGGGAAUCCAACGACAGACUCAGUGGGAGAGAGGGCACCAAAGACAGGACUUCUGAACCCAAAUCUGGUUCCGGUUCUGAAGCUAUUUUUAUGACUUUUGGAUUGUUUUGAGCAAACGAGACUAUCUGGGACAUGGUUUCUGCAACAAAUUAUUGGAAUUGUGAGAGCAUGCUAAUGGCCCCAUUAUCAAUAAAAAAUUAUGAAAACUAUGACCUGCUGAGAACUUUCUAUGUACCAGGGACUUCGCCUGAAUCCUCUCGUACAGUUGUUAACAGUAACCCCACCAGGCAAGUGCUAUGCCUAUCCCCAAUUUACAGAUGAGGAAAUUGAGGUCAGAGAAGUGAACUGAUUCGCCCAAGGCCCCCCAGCUGGUAAGCGGCAGAUGGGAGUGGAAUUGGACUCGGGGUCUCCAAACUCAGCUGAUUGUGAUGCUCUGCGGCCUCCCCCGGCACCAGACUGUUGAACACAGGACCAUGAGGGGAAGCCAGGCGGUUCUAUCACCACGAUCUUUCCUGGCCAGGCUGGCUCUGCCUGUUGUAAAUGCAGGGGUCUUGAUGAAAGAAGCAAGAAAUGAGGUCAGCCCGUUCCUCGUCAUGGGCAGGACCCUUCCUGGAGGGGCUGGGAGGCUUUUGCUCCUGUGCUCGUAGGCGCAUGAGCCCCAUCUACCCAAGGGACUCCUGCCAAAUUGGAGCCACAGAGAAUAACAAGGGGGCUGCGGGCAAGGACGGAAGAAAGAGAGAAUUUGAACACCUGCCAAGUCAAGCUCCUGGAGCAGAGACAAGGGCAAGAUUUUGGACCUCCCUCCCUCUGCUGGGGGAUGGGCUGACUCUGUUGAACCAUUCGCACGCCAACCCAGUGGGGACCAGGUACAAUGUGACAGGGUAGGCAUGGUCCACAGCCUGGACUUGGCAGGCAGGGAGACCUCGAUCCAGAUUCCGGCUCUUCCCGACUGUGUGACCUUGGGCUAGUGAUUUCACCUCUCUGAAUCUAUUUCCUUGUAAGAAAAGAGGUAAUAAUAGCAUCUACCUCUUAGGGUGGUGUGAGAAUUAUGUGAGAUAAUGAAAGAAAAGGACUUAGAAUGGUGCCUGGCACACAGUAAGCGCUCAAUAAGUGUCAGCUUCUGCAUUGUCAUUGCAGGCAUUGGCUCGCCAAGUGGGCACCUUGACAGCUGGGAAUAUUUUAGCACAAGCUGUGCCAUCAUUGAACCAUAGGACAUCAGAGCCCAAAAGGAUCUUCUCGAUUGUCCAGGACAAUGCUCUCAUAUUACACAUGGGGAAACUGAGGCCCGGAGUUGGGAAUAGACUUGUUCAAGGUCCCUCACCAGGUAACCUGUAUGUUGAAUCGACGUGGUGGGAAAGUUAUUCCUCCCCAAUUCUCUUUCAGUCCUUCUGUUUACAUCUAAACAAAGGUCUCAGCGAAGGGUUAACAAGCCUUGAGCACCUGCAGCCUCUGUCUCUUGCUAUUUUCUCUUUUUAACAAAGAGACAGCAGAUGUAAGUCUUAGACCCUUCGGCAGGCAACAUCAUCUAGUUAUUUCACCACAUUUUGCUUUCAUUGGAUUUUGUUAUGAUUGCCUUCUUCGGUGAACAUGUUAGCGAUGAGAAUUUCACUGUAUCAAAAGUGAAUUGAUCGGAAAAAAACAAGGCAUAAGCAAAUAAUAGUAUGGGAACAUUAGCAUAUGUGGCAAAAAAUAGUGAAGACGUAUGCCAAUAACUGUCCUUCAGUCUGCCCUAACCGAGUAGGGGAAGUUCAAGUUAGGGACACCUGUGCUCCAAUCUCAGAUCUGCUCCUUCCUGUGUGACCUUAGUUGAGUCCCACCAUCCCACUGAGCUUCAGUUUCCUCACCCACUAGAUGGGCGUAAUCAUACCCACUCCAUAGGAUUCCUCUAAAGAUGAAAUACGAUUAAACCUACAAACCUCUCCACAUGGCUCUUGACACAUCGUAGAUAACGAUAAGAGGCAGAACAGAUACGUGGGAAAAUGUGGAGCAAAGAGACUGAAGUUUGCUUUGGCUCUGAGCAUCCUCCAUGGAUGACUUCCUGUGUCCCCUGCUUCCUGUCCUCUCAUCCAGCUUGGAUGUGGGAAAGAUCUCAUCUGCAGUCCUCGCCCUGCCCCCAGUCUGAUAGGCAAAUUCCAAGACCUCUCCCCGUCCCCUCAUCCAGGCAAGAUGGGGCCUUUCACACGGGGAUGGGUGUGUUGGGCUAAGGCCAACAGCUGUAGCAUCCUGCCUGGCUGGAAAUCUCCAAGGAUCUCAGCUGGUUGAAGGAGCUUCCCUGUCCUCUGAUGACCUGAGCUUUUCCUGGGAGAGGCGAUGAGGCCUCCUAAGAUUGGGCCAGGGCCAUCCCAAACUCCCGUCCUGCUCCUCGGUGUCUGAAGUCUGGGCAGAGCCAGGAGGGCCCAGGAGGUCCCACCUGCUCUUGUGUGAUCCCAGCCUUGCAAUCUUUUAAUAAUAUUAGUUCCCAUGGACUGAGCGCUGAGUCUGUACCCCGUGCUAAACGCUUUACACACAUCCUCUCAUUCCCCAUCACAGAUCCAUCUGUGAGGGAAUGCGGGAACAGAAGCUCAGAGCAGUUCAGCAAAUUGCUCUGAGUUACCCACUCUCUCUAUCAUGGAGCCCGGACUCCCUACACCCAGGGGUGAAAUUCAAAAUAUUUAGCAACUGGCACAACUGGACAUUGGCCAGCCAGAAGGGAUAGAUACCUGAUCUAGUUAUGGAGGAGGGUUCUGGGGACCCUUUAAUAGCUGGAACAUGGGGCGGUUUGGAGGGUCCUGGGGACAGGGUCAGGAUGGCUAGGUCGACUAGGGAGGGCACCUGGGGAGCUCAGGGCAAUGGCGAGUCCCAUAUUGUAGCGAGGGCCCCAUAUUGAGCUCAACUGCAGCCCUACCUUGAGCAGCUGUAGGCAUUUCUAUCUGGUCAAGCAACUCCCAGCAAGCUGUUUUCCCAGAGGUCUCAGAGACAGCGAAAUCCACAAAAUGGCCGUCUUCUUAAGAUGAUUAAUUCGCUGACUUCUUUUUCAGCUCAGUCGCCUCCACAGCUUUGCCCUGCCUGUGACUCCAACCUGAGACCUUCUAUGAGUCUCUUGAAAGAAACAUUGGCUCCCUCCUCCUCCCUUUUCCCUUUCUCUCUGCUCUCAGCGAUGUUUGAUCUGGCUGCUGGACCAGGGAGAGGUGUGGGUCUUGGGGACGGCGCGUGAGCCAGCGAGCGUAAGAGAAGCUGUUGGCCUUUCCCUUAUCAGGAAGUGUCCUGAGGCUUCCAAGAACUCCAGAGGCGCCAGGCGGGUCAGGAGCAGGCACGUGGGGGGAGAGACAGGACUGCAGAAUCCCAAAGCUGAAAGAAGCCUCAGAAUUCAGCUAGCCCUGUCUCUCCAGACACAGGACAUUUUUUGCCAGGGCUAGGAGUGGAGCAAAGAUUCAAGAACCGCAACAAUAAUAGUAAUAACAAACGGCCACGUAUGAAGACCUGCUGUGUGAGGAUCAUUGUGCCAUGAUCUCAUCUCAUUUUCACUUGGUAACUCUGCAAGGCCAGAAUCAGCACACAUCUCAUACAGACGAGGAAAGGGCAUUCCUUGCUUGAGGAAGGAGCAUUAAACUCAGAGUUGAAGGAUCCGUUUGGGGCUGUUCUAAAUUCCAGAUGUAAGGACCUCGAGUAUGUCCGUUCACCUCUGGAAGACUUCGUUUCCCCAUAACAGCAGGAGGGUACAAUCUCUCCUCCCCUGAACAGCUUCGCUGCCAAGACUGGAUGCAAUGAUGACUGGGGAAAAGGCUUUGGAGCCAGAAGAGCACGUGAUGGAGUGACGCUGAUUAGGGAGAAGAUGUCCCUGAAGCAUCUAGCCAUCAGCACCCCGCUGUGAGUCUCUUCUCCCCACAGGCAUUGCCAUCAGGGCCUCUGUGUGGCUUUGAUUCAGUGGCUCAGCCUGGCGCUCUUCUGGCUGCUCACGUGGUUUUCCCAGGCUCAGCCCUUCUCACUCCCCUCAGCAAAACCUGCCCUUCCUUCAUCCCAAUCUCAGCCUCAGGACCCCUCCAGGUGGUAAGCGGAGCCGGCAGGACACCUUCCAGUUUAAUUCCUGUGGAUGCUCCAGCGAAGGCGCACUCUGCUGGCUGUGGGAGAGUUAGGGCGAGCAGCCUCCCCAAGGAAGAUUCUACUGGGCCUUUGGGGCAUCGGGGGAGGGUCUUUCUUGACCGUGAUGGAGAUCCUCCCUCAGCCAUACCACGUGGGUAGGGGAGUGCCCCAAUUUUCGUGGAACUGUGGACAAGUCAUUUCACCUCUCUUAUUCUCGGGUUCUUCAUCUACAAAACGGGAUUGUUGAUACCGACCUCACAGGGCACUGAGCAGGCAAGACGGGAGAAUCUAUGCGGCCCCCCUUUCUGGGACCCUGUUGCAGGUUUGCUGUGACACUUUCUUCCCUUCAGGUAUGAGGGUUCAAGUCCCUGCCCUGGGCCAUGUCUCACAGGAGAGAUGCCCAGGAGGGAGAGACCCCAGAUCUCGGGUCCCAGGCACCCCCGUCUCCUCCACUCCCACCCUGAAAUCCACACUGCCAGGUCACUUACUGGAUUUUCUUUGUGAAGUUCUUGGAAACAAUGCCGCCUUCUUGCUGCUUCUCCUCGUGUUUGCCUGGAAGGGAAAGAAAUGCCACGGGUCAGCAUCUGCGUGCCCUGGGCAUCCGUCAGGACUCGGACUUGGAGUCGAAUCCUGCGCCUGCCUCACUGUGUGGCUUGGGGCUUGGUCUAGUGGCUCCAGUUGUCUGAGCUUCUGGUCCCUCAUCUGCUAAGUGGACCCACCUGAGCCUCCUCCCAGGCUGUUGUGAAGAUGAAAUAAAUAACGGACAGGAGGCCUUGACCGUGCAAAUAUUCUUUAACAGCGGGAUUACUAGCGGCUGCACAGCGUUUCACUGCAGAGAUAUAAAAAUUCAUUUGGACAGUCCCCAGCUUCUUGGCACUGAGGUUCCUGACAUUUGGGAAGAACCUCAGUGCCCUGAAUGUCAUCCUAGCUAGAUCUGCAUGCGGCCUGAUGACUCCCUGAGGGUAAAUUCCAAGUUCUAGAAUUUCUAAGGCUUGGUCUGUAUUGUUAAAUUGCCCUUAGGAAAGGCUGCAUCAAUUUCUUCUCCCAUCAGCUGGGCAGAAAGGGGUACACAUGUAGGAGUUUGGGUUUUUAAGCUGGAGUGUCUGGCUCUCCAGAACAUGCUAUUCUGUGAUGUGCUGCCCCGGGGAAAGCUUAUUGUGACCUGCCAAGUCCGUGACCACCAAAUGCCCAGCUCCAACCCAGGCCUGUGGCCAGAAGGGCGCUGUGUGUUCCCUGGUAUCCUCCCCAAGCCAGGGCCUCCGGAGGCCUGCUUCCCCUGGGGACAGGCCAGUGCCUCUGACUCAGCCCUUUUGCACCCUUGGUAUCCUGGGAAUAAUAAAGGAUGAUGAUGAUAAGAAUAAUAAUAGCAAACUCUUAUAUAG